rnacentral:misc_RNA from 1 species
UUCCUGGAGUUGAUUGGGGGUCAAGUCCUUUGUCUGCUUAAGGGACAACAGAUAGGCAGCCAUGAAGCAUGCAAUGCCCUCUACUAUGUCUUCUUGCCGAACAAGAACAUAACCUUCUUGAUCAGAGUCAAAAUUGUCACAUUCCCAAAGAUCAUGCUCAUUGACCAUGUCCCAAGAACUACCUUCUUCAGAAAUAUUUUGGGGAGCCGACCCUUGAGCACACUCUAGCUUUUCAAGGAAGUC